rnacentral:rRNA from 1 species
UACAGAGGUCUCAAGCGUUGUUCGGAUUCAUUGGGCGUAAAGGGUGCGUAGGUGGCGCCGUAAGUCGGGUGUGAAAUUUCGGAGCUUAACUCCGAAACUGCAUUCGAUACUGCGGUGCUUGAGGACUGGAGAGGAGACUGGAAUUCCUGGUGUAGCGGUGAAAUGCGCAGAUAUCAGGAGGAACACCAGCAGCGAAGGCGGCGCUCUGGGCUGGAACUGACGCUGAGGAGCGAAAGCGUGGGUAGCAAACAGG